UACGUAGGGGCCAAGCGUUACCCGGAUUUACUGGGCGUAAAGGGCGUGUAGGUGGCUGCGUAAGUUUGCUGUGAAAUCUUUCGGCUCAACCGGGAGAGGUCAGCGAAUACUGCGCGGCUUGAGGGAAGCAGAGGAAGGUGGAAUUCCCGGUGUAGCGGUGAAAUUCGUAGAUAUCGAGAGGAACACCGGUGGCGAAGGCGGCUUCCUGGACAGUGACUGACGCUGAGACGCGAAAGCCAGGGGAGCAAACGGG
rnacentral:rRNA from 1 species